rnacentral:rRNA from 1 species
AGCGAACGCUGGCGGCAGGCCUAACACAUGCAAGUCGAACGAACUCUUCAGAGUUAGUGGCGGACGGGUGAGUAACACGUGGGAACGUGCCUUUAGGUUCGGAAUAACUCAGGGAAACUUGAGCUAAUACCGGAUGUGCCCUUCGGGGGAAAGAUUUAUCGCCUUUAGAGCGGCCCGCGUCUGAUUAGCUAGUUGGUGAGGUAAAGGCUCACCAAGGCGACGAUCAGUAGCUGGUCUGAGAGGAUGAUCAGCCACAUUGGGACUGAGACACGGCCCAAACUCCUACGGGAGGCAGCAGUGGGGAAUCUUGCGCAAUGGGCGAAAGCCUGACGCAGCCAUGCCGCGUGAAUGAUGAAGGUCUUAGGAUUGUAAAAUUCUUUCACCGGGGACGAUAAUGACGGUACCCGGAGAAGAAGCCCCGGCUAACUUCGUG